rnacentral:tRNA from 2 species
AUUCAAAUAGCUUAAAUUUAAAGCGUAAUAUUGAAGAUAUUAAAAUGAUAUUUUAUCUUUGAAUA